rnacentral:rRNA from 1 species
CCCUUAGAUGUUCUGGGCCGCACGCGCGCUACACUGAUGCAUUCAACGAGUCUAAAACCUGCUCUGAUAGGGGUGGGUAAUCUUUUGAAUGUGCAUCGUGAUUGGGAUAGAUGAUUGCAGUUUUUCAUCUUCAACGAGGAAUGCCUAGUAAACGCAAGUCAUCAGCUUGCAUUGAUUGCGUCCCUGCCCUUUGUACACACCGCCCGUCGCUCCUACCGAUUGAAUGAUCCGAUGAAUAUCAUGGAUUGAGGAUGCAAGCAGGUUCGCCUGUCUUCAUCUUCGAGAAGUGAAGUAAAUCUUAUCAUUUAGAGGAAGGAGAAGCCGUAACA